AUGUUUACUCUGCCAGCUCCAAAAGGGUUGUUUCCACCUGAACCUGAACACUACCGAGGUCCCAAGCUCAAAGUGGCUAUAAUUGGAGCUGGGCUUGCAGGCAUGUCAAAAGCAUUUGAGCUUUUGGAUCAAUGCCACGAGGUUGGUCCAAUUUAUGUUUAUAGUCCACCGACUGCUCUCAAUUAUGUCUGGAUUACUUAUGAUAAAGCAAGAAAUGCAGUGGCUCUUGCAUUAGGUCCAGUUGUGAAGGCUCUGGUUGAUCCAGAUGGAGCAUUGAGGGAUGUACGGAAUUUGGAUAGUGUAAGAAUGAAAGCUAUCGCUAUCCUUUAUUUUGAUUUCUCUUGCUUUGCCGGCCUAGCACUUACUUCUCCGGAAGAUUACUACAUUGAGGGACAAGGUUCACUCCUCUAAUGCGUUUUGACACCAGGUGGUCCUUACAUACCUUUACCAAACGAAGAAAUUAUAGCAAGAGUGACGAAACAGGUUUUGGCUUUAUUCCCAUCAUCCCAAGGUAUAGAAGUCACUUGGUCAUCUGUUGCCAAAAUUUGGCAAUCUCUCUAUCAGGAGGCACCUGGAAAAGAUCCGUUUAGACCUGAUCAGAAGACACCUGUAAAAAAUUUCUUCCUUGCCGGCUCAUACACAAAACAAAUUUUCCGUGGUUGCCAUAUCGUACGAAGAAACGCCAAAAGAAGCAGAAUUAUCUUGAUCUUCUUUGGCACGACAAUGCUGGCUCUUCUGACGGCAUGGUGCCUCUGCAGCAGCAGCUAUUGUAUACUUAGCUAACAAGGGUAAUGCCAAGGCAAAUUGGUUUGCAAUAUGCCAACAAUUCAACUCCUGCGAGCGCAUCUCUGGCUCUUUAAUUUGAUCUUUUAUAAGAGUUGUUGUUUUUAUACUCCUAAUCUUGCGUUCAGCUGCGGCCCUCUCUCGACGUUGAGUGUCAGUCUCAUACAUUUUCAACGAUGCACAUGUAUACAUGUUGAUUUGUGCAUCAGUGCGUCAGUUCGUGUGUAUUGUAAGUGACAUGGAAUCCGUCGUGUGUCAGCUAAAAUGUUUCUUUUUUCUUUAUUUGAUAUGAAAAACGUAUGUAGUUCAUUUCAUUUCCUUGCCCAAUUAUUGUACUCAAUUCUAUUUACUGUAACUGGUUCGAUCUGCUACAAUGCAAACACUGUCUACCAUUUUAUUGGGUAUAAAUGGGAGACUACCUUCAUAAAAUGUUGCACUCAAACCUUUCAUGUCCCUCUAACUACUAUAAUACAUAUAUAGCUUUUUUUUUUCGACAGCAAGAAAAAUGGUAGCC